rnacentral:rRNA from 1 species
GCUGUUCGCCAUUUAAAGUGGUACGCGAGCUGGGUUUAGAACGUCGUGAGACAGUUCGGUCCCUAUCUGCCGUGGGCGCUGGAGAACUGAGGGGGGCUGCUCCUAGUACGAGAGGACCGGAGUGGACGCAUCACUGGUGUUCGGGUUGUCAUGCCAAUGGCACUGCCCGGUAGCUAAAUGCGGAAGAGAUAAGUGCUGAAAGCAUCUAAGCACGAAACUUGCCCCGAGAUGAGUUCUCCCUGAGACUUARAGUCUCCUGAAGGAACGUUGAAGACGACGACGUUGAUAGGCCGGGUGUGUAAGCGCAGCGAUGCGUUGAGCUAACCGGUACUAAUGAACCGUGAGGCUUAACCYUACAACGCCGAAG